AUGACUAUAUCACAUUGAAACACCAGUUCUUGUAUGAUCACCAAAGUUAAGCAAUGUCAAGCCUGUUCAGUACUAAGAUGGCUGACCACUUUGGAAUAACAGGUGCUGUAAG